rnacentral:rRNA from 1 species
AUGAAGCCUUGCGGCGGGAUGUACCAGAGCCACGGCCGCCAAGCGCGGGGCGCCUCUCAGAGCAACGACGUCGCCGGCAGCGGCACCGUCGGGCCGCCCGCCUUCGUCUCCGCGCUCCCCGUCCCCGACGACCCGCUCGACGGCGUCAUGCAGUGCCUCGGCGACGGCGCGGAGGAUGGCUGCGCCGGCGGCGCGUGGUUCGACGACUUCCGCGGCGGGAGCAUGGACAUGUGGACGCGCGCCGGGGUGGAUAAUCUGGAAAUGCUGCUGGGGGACCUCCCGGACUCGGAGAUGACAACGUCCGUCGACAUGGCCACCCACGGCGCCACGGGAACGAACCCGACGCCGACAGGACCCAAAGCUGCCACCGCUGUGCCGGACAGGCCAGCCGUGGCGACGAACCGCUCGUCGUUCAGGAACCGCAUGGACGAGGACGAGGACGACCUAUAUGCGAUGUCGUCGAGCGACUCCUCGUCAGAGGACGACGACGACGACGCCCACUGGGACCCAUCCGAGUGCAGGAAGAGUGACGGCGCGAAACGCCGGCCGCAGAAGCAUCAGAGCAGCACCGCGGGAGAGAGGAGGCAGCAAACGGAAACCGUCGUGCGGCCGGUGGUGCCGCGCGGCGUGGUGAUCACCGUGGAGGGCGGAGACGGUGGCAAGGGCAGGCACUGGUGCCACAACUGCGGCAUCUCGGAGACCCCGCUGUGGCGCGCUGGCCCGGACGGGCCCAAGACGCUGUGCAACGCGUGCGGUUUGCGGCAUAAGAACAGGCUGGCGGCGCCGCCGACCACUAAGCGCCCGCGGGCGGCGAAACCAAAGAGCGCCAAAAGCAAGAACCACUCCGGCAUGCAGUUGCCGGGCGGUGCGGCGGUGGUGAGGAAGAAGCGCAGUGGCGCAAAUCGCAUAGACUGA